rnacentral:rRNA from 1 species
GACGAACGCUGGCGGCGUGCUUAACACAUGCAGGUCGAACGGUAAGGCCCUUCGGGGUACACGAGUGGCGAACGGGUGAGUAACACGUGGGUGAUCUGCCCUGCACUUCGGGAUAAGCCUGGGAAACUGGGUCUAAUACCGGAUAGGACCCUGGGAUGCAUGUCCUGGGGUGGAAAGCUUUUGCGGUGUGGGAUGGGCCCGCGGCCUGUCAGCUUGUUGGUGGGGUGAUGGCCUACCAAGGCGACGACGGGUAGCCGGCCUGAGAGGGUGACCGGCCACACUGGGACUGAGAUACGGCCCAGACUCCUACGGGAGGCAGCAGUGGGGAGUAUUGCACAAUGGGCGCAAGCCUGAUGCAGCGACGCCGCGUGAGGGAUGACGGCCUUCGGGUUGUAAACCUCUUUCAGCACCGACGAAGCGCAAGUGACGGUAGGUGCAGAAGAAGGACCGGCCAACUACGUGCCAGCCGCCGCCGUAA